UGUCUACAAAGACAUUAAUAUGAAUAGCAAAAGGAUAUAGCGCUUAAACUGCUUAUUUAACUAUUUAACGUGUUCUUUAUUCAAUGAGAACGUAUUUUGACAACGGUAACGUUACUGGUACGGAAAUCAAAAUGCCUUGCAAAAUCAGCAGCUGAACAACAAUGACAGUCAUGAGCACGCGGCAAUGAGCAGCACCAAGCAUGUUCGGUUUAAUAGCUGCGGCAACAGCGUCCUGCCAGAAUCGCAUAGAGAUGCAGAGGUCUCUGAAACUUGAGAUCAUGUGUUCAACAAUGAACUACCGAGGAAGACUGGACCGCAAUUAAAACUGCUUCCUUUGAAUGACCAAAUACGAGAAUUACAGACCAUCAUUAGAGACAAAUGAGAGUAGUGGUUGAAGAGGGACUCAAUCAGCUGCCAUACAGCGAGUGUACAGUGACCACUCCCACAGUUUGAGAAAGGCAACUGCGGUGUCAGCAUUAUGAGAAGCGGCGAGGCCAUGGAGCAGGGACUCAGAGACUGCUGCCGGUCCAUCCGUAUCGGUAAGAUCCUCAUCCAGAGUGACGAGGACACUCAGAAGACCAAAGUUUACAACGCCAAGUUCCCCCUAGAUAUCAACAGGAGGAAAGUCCUCCUAAUGUAUCCCAUUCUCACUAAGUA